UACGUAGGGGGCAAGCGUUGUCCGGAUUUACUGGGCGUAAAGAGCGUGUAGGCGGCCACGCAGGUCCGUUGUGAAAACUGGAGGCUCAACCUCCAGCUGUCGACGGAAACCGUAUGGCUAGAGUCCGGAAGAGGAGAGUGGAAUUCCUGGUGUAGCGGUGAAAUGCGCAGAUAUCAGGAAGAACACCGGUGGCGAAAGCGGCUCUCUGGGCCUUACCUGACGCUGAGGAGCGAAAGCGUGGGUAGCGAACAGG
rnacentral:rRNA from 1 species